UGCAAGUCGAGCGGUAAGGCCCUUCGGGGUACACGAGCGGCGAACGGGUGAGUAACACGUGGGUGAUCUGCCUCGUACUCUGGGAUAAGCCUGGGAAACUGGGGUCUAGUACCGGAUAUGACCACGAAUCGCAUGGGUUUGUGGUGGAAAGAUUUAUCGGUGCGAGAUGGGCCCGCGGCCUAUCAGCUUGUUGGUGGGGUAAUGGCCUACCAAGGCGACGACGGGUAGCCGGCCUGAGAGGGCGACCGGCCACACUGGGACUGAGACACGGCCCAGACUCCUACGGGAGGCAGCAGUGGGGAAUAUUGCACAAUGGGCGGAAGCCUGAUGCAGCGACGCCGCGUGAGGGAUGACGGCCUUCGGGUUGUAAACCUCUUUCGACAGGGACGAAGCGCAAGUGACGGUACCUGUAGAAGAAGCACCGGCCAACUACGUGCCAGCAGCCGCGGUAAUACGUAGGGUGCGAGCGUUGUCCGGAAUUACUGGGCGUAAAGAGCUUGUAGGCGGUUCGUCGCGUCGAUCGUGAAAACUUGCAGCUCAACUGCGAGCUUGCGGUCGAUACGGGCGGACUAGAGUACUGCAGGGGAGACUGGAAUUCCUGGUGUAGCGGUGAAAUGCGCAGAUAUCAGGAGGAACACCGGUGGCGAAGGCGGGUCUCUGGGCAGUAACUGACGCUGAGAAGCGAAAGCGUGGGUAGCGAACAGGAUUAGAUACCCUGGUAGUCCACGCCGUAAACGGUGGGCGCUAGGUGUGGGUUUCCUUCCACGGGAUCCGUGCCGUAGCUAACGCAUUAAGCGCCCCGCCUGG
rnacentral:rRNA from 1 species